AUAUUUACCUGGCAGGGGAGAUACCAUGAUCACGAAGGCGGUUCUCCCAGGGCGAGGCUUAUCCAUUACAUUUCGGAUGUGCUGACCCCUGCAAUUUUCCCAAAUGUGGGAAAUUCAACUGCAUCAUUUGUGAUAGUGGGGGACUGCAUUCGCACUUUCCCCUG
rnacentral:snRNA from 1 species